rnacentral:rRNA from 1 species
UCCAGACUCCUACGGGAGGCAGCAGUGGGGGAUAUUGCACAAUGGGGGGAACCCUGAUGCAGCGACGCCGCGUGGGUGAAGGAGCGUUUCGGCGCGUAAAGCCCUAUCGGCAGGGAAGAAGGAGGACGGUACCUGACUAAGAAGCCCCGGCUAACUACGUGCCAGCAGCCGCGGUAAUACGUAGGGGGCAAGCGUUAUCCGGAUUUACUGGGUGUAAAGGGGGCGCAGACGGCGAUGCAAGCCAGGAGUGAAAGCCCGGGGCCCAACCCCGGGACUGCUCUUGGAACUGCGUGGCUGGAGUGCAGGAGGGGCAGGCGGAAUUCCUAGUGUAGCGGUGAAAUGCGUAGAUAUUAGGAGGAACACCAGUGGCGAAGGCGGCCUGCUGGACUGCAACUGACGUUGAGGCUCGAAGGCGUGGGGAGCAAACAGGAUUAGAUACCCCGGUACA